rnacentral:rRNA from 1 species
UACGUAGGGUGCGAGCGUUGUCCGGAAUUAUUGGGCGUAAAGAGCUCGUAGGCGGUGUGUCACGUCGGCCGUGAAAACCUGGGGGCUUAACUCUGGGCGUGCGGUCGAUACGGGCAUCACUAGAGUUCGGCAGGGGAGACUGGAAUUCCUGGUGUAGCGGUGAAAUGCGCAGAUAUCAGGAGGAACACCGGUGGCGAAGGCGGGGUCUCUGGGCCGAUACUGACGCUGAGGAGCGAAAGCAUGGGUAGCGAACAGG